CACCCAGCCAUGGAAAUGGCUGGCAGAGCAGCAACCCGCCUGUGUCUUCAUCUGGACAAGGCACCAACUGAAGCUUGAGGAAAGCCCAUGCCACACUCUGCACUGCACUGUGGUCCUACAAGAUCUCGGGAUCUGCACUGCAUGGACAGAGGAAGCUCCACAACACCUCUCAGCUACGGUCCCCACCAUGGACUUGCACACAUCAUCUCAAGGAACCAUAUGGACAUGUCUACAAUUGACCCUUGAAGAUAAGGAACAAACAAGAAGAUAAAAAAGGAUGAAUGGGCCCACUUGAAAAAUACCAGAGACACCACAUGCAGAAGAGUAGGCAAGCACCAUAAGUGAGCAUGCUCCUGUGAUCGGGGAUGAAAGACUGUCAGCCUUCCUUCCUUGACCUCCAGACAACCACUGAGAAGCUAUCACAAAAUUAAAGACAAAUUAAAAACCUUCAAAAUAAACUUUCUGUUUCAUUAAACCCAUGGUGCUUCUUUCACCUUCUGACAUCUAUACCACAAACAUUUUUGGAGGUGGUUUCCUUAUUGUCAUCAUCUCUUGGUAUUAAUGCAUCUGUAUAUGACAGGAUCACAGAAUGGUUUGGGUUGGAAGAGACCUUGGAGAUCACCUAGUUCCUUUAGGAAGUGAAACCUCCCACUAGAUAUCAGGUUGCUCACAGCCCCAUCAAGCAUGGCCUGGAAUGCUUCCAUGGAGGGGCAUCCAUAACCUUGUCGGGCAAUCUGUGCCAGUGUGUCACCUCCCACACAGUAAAUAAUUUCUUUGUAAUGUCUAGUCUAAAUCUACCCUCUUACAGUUUAAAAUAAUUUCCCCUCAUCCCGUAGCUACAUGCCUACAUAAAAAGUCCCUCCCCAGCUUUCCUGCAUUUUGGUCACAACCCAGGCAAACCUACAGGCAUGGGGAGG
rnacentral:lncRNA from 1 species